AGUGGGAUAGCUGGGUCAAAUAGUGAUUCCAUUCUCAAUUUUCUAAGGAAUCUCAUACUGCUCUCCAUAGUUGUUGCACCAAUUUGCAUUCCCACCAGCAAU
rnacentral:pre_miRNA from 1 species